rnacentral:piRNA from 1 species
UGCCUAGGAAGCCUUUUCCACAUCUUG